UGGGGAAUAUUGCACAAUGGAGGGAACUCUGAUGCAGCGACGCCGCGUGAGUGAUGAAGGACUUCGUUUCGUAAAACUCUGUUCUAUGGGAAGAAAAGGACUGUACCAUAGGAGAAAGCUCCGGCUAAAUACGUGCCAGCAGCCGCGGUAAUACGUAUGGAGCGAGCGUUGUCCGGAAUUAUUGGGCGUAAAGGGUGCGCAGGCGGCUUUACAAGUUGGAUGUGAAAUAUUGUGGCUCAACCACAAACGUGCAUCCAAAACUGCAAAGCUUGAGGUAAGGAGAGGUAAGUGGAAUUCCUGGUGUAGCGGUGGAAUGCGUAGAUAUCAGGAGGAAUACCGGUGGCGAAGGCGACUUACUGGACUUAAACUGACGCUCAGGCACGAAAGCGUGGGGAGCAAACAGG
rnacentral:rRNA from 1 species